rnacentral:rRNA from 1 species
UACGGGGGGGGCAAGCGUUGUUCGGAAUUACUGGGCGUAAAGGGCUCGUAGGCGGCCAACUCAGUCGGACGUGAAAUCCCUCGGCUUAACCGGGGAACUGCUUCCGAUACUGGAUGGCUUGAGUGUGGGAGAGGGAUGCGGAAUUCCAGGUGUAGCGGUGAAAUGCGUAGAUAUCUGGAGGAACACCGGUGGCGAAGGCGGCAUCCUGGACCGACACUGACGCUGAGGAGCGAAAGCCAGGGGAGCAAACGGG